ACGAACGCUGGCGGCGUGCCUAAUACAUGCCAGUUGAGCGCUGAAGGUUGGUACUUGUACCAACUGGAUGAGCAGCGAACGGGUGAGUAACGCGUGGGGAAUCUGCCUUUGAGCGGGGGACAACAUUUGGAAACGAAUGCUAAUACCGCAUAAAAACUUUAAACACAAGUUUUAAGUUUGAAAGAUGCAAUUGCAUCACUCAAAGAUGAUCCCGCGUUGUAUUAGUUAGUUGGUGAGGUAAAGGCUCACCAAGGCGAUGAUACAUAGCCGAGCUGGGAGGGAGAUCGGCCAACCUGGGACUGGGACAAGGCCCAAACUCCUACGGGAGGCAGCAAUAGGGAAACUUCGGCAAAUGGCGAAAGGCUGGCCGGGCAACGCCGCGGUAGUGAAGAAGGGUUUCGGAUCGUAAAACUCUGUUGGUAGAGAAGAACGUUGGUGAGAGUGGAAAGCUCAUCAAGUGACGGUAACUACCCAGAAAGGGACGGCUAACUACGUG
rnacentral:rRNA from 1 species